AGCGUAGACGGAGUGGCAAGUCUGAUGUGAAAACCCGGGGCUCAACCCCGGGACUGCAUUGGAAACUGUCAAUCUAGAGUACCGGAGAGGUAAGCGGAAUUCCUAGUGUAGCGGUGAAAUGCGUAGAUAUUAGGAGGAACACCAGUGGCGAAGGCGGCUUACUGGACGGUAACUGACGUUGAGGCUCGAAAGCGUGGGGAGGCAAAACA
rnacentral:rRNA from 1 species